UAUUCAUGACAUCAGGUCAAGCGAGUCCCUCUCGUUCUGCGGACUCCCGACUGACCGCUCAGGCGCUCCCUUCUCGUUCUCCCUCUCCCUCUCGCGUUCCUCAGUUCAAAUUCGAAACCCUAGCGUUCAAUUUUUGAACAAUUGAAGCUCUCCCUCAGUUCGUCUCGCUUUCCCUCUCUGUGUGACAGUGGUGAGUCUGUCUCUGCCGGAAACUGGUCGUCUGCGCCGACCUUCCGACACCUCGGCCAUCUUCGAUCCGACGCCGCUGCCGAUGUGACCACCCCCUACCUUUAGGUCCUCCCGGGUCCCUCCUCAGUUGCCAUCCUCUCGAGCCUACAUCCUCCGUCUCUCCCGAGGCCCGCCCGCUGCUUUGUCUUCUCUCUUUUCAGCCGCUGGCCGCUGCUCGUGCUCGUCCGGGCUCCAGCGACUGUAAGAAGGACUGGGAAUUGGAAUCUUUUUGCUGCUUAGAAGUGUGAAAGAUGUCUCUGUUUCUCUUUGGGUGCUUCCUGCACCAUCUUCUGGUUGUAAAUUUGCAUGCUUGAGCAGAGAAGAUGAUGAUGAUUUUAACGUCUACAGUACAAGCCGCAAUCAUGGAAGAAAUUUGCAAUGAGCUGAGCUCUUGAACUUCUCUAAUCUUACAGAUCUCACCGACACUUCGUCCCUUCUCGAUCCCUUCUCCUCUGAUCCGUACAGCUGCGAGGUUUCAGGUCCUUUAAAGAGUUCUCCUGAUGAACAUUCCCAGAAUAGACAUGGGUAGUGACCCUAGGAGGGCGUUCUCCAAGUCUAAGUCUUCAUAGGACACUACUCUCUCAAGCUCAUUGCCUGUUCUUCUCCACUAAAAGCAGAAACCUCCCAACGCUUUCAAUUUAUCUUGGCAUGGAGGUAUAACAGAAUUUUAACCCAAGUUUGAGCUGCACUCAACUUGAUGCAACUGCAGCUCAAGUUAAAAACCUCUGACUCUUGAUUUUGGUCUUGGAGUCGUAUACAAUGGGUCUACUCAUAAAGAAACUUUAUAUGAAGAAAUCAAGUUUUGCCUCCACUUCAGAUAGUGAUGCACAUUGUUGGGACACAAGGAGAUGUGCAACCUUUUGUUGCAAUCAAGAAACGAUUAGAGGUUACUUGUAAAAUAUGGAUCUUGCUCGUUUACUCUGUAUCUUUUAAUUUUUAUUAUGCAUUUUCAUGCCACUGAUGUAUUUGUAAUUGCAGGGAUAUGGGCAUAGAAGUUGAGGGCUUGUUUGGUUUUA